rnacentral:rRNA from 1 species
CCUACGGGGGACAGCAGUGGGGGAUAUUGCACAAUGGGGGGAACCCUGAUGCAGCGACGCCGCGUGGGUGAGGGAGUGCUUCGGCAUGUAAAGCCCUAUCGGCAGGGAAGAAGCAAGACGGUACCUGACUAAGAAGCCCCGGCUAACUACGUGCCAGCAGCCGCGGUAAUACGUAGGGGGCGAGCGUUAUCCGGAUUCACUGGGUGUAAAGGGAGCGUAGACGGCCAUGCAAGCCAGGGGUGAAAGCCCGGGGCCCAACCCCGGGACUGCCCUUGGAACUGUGCGGCUAGAGUGCGGGAGGGGCAGGCGGAAUUCCUGGUGUAGCGGUGAAAUGCGUAGAUAUCAGGAGGAACACCGGCGGCGAAGGCGGCCUGCUGGACUGCGACUGACGUUGAGGCUCGAAAGCGUGGGGAGCGAACAGGAUUAGAUACCCGAGUAGUC